rnacentral:tRNA from 1 species
GGCUUGUUAGCUCAAUUGGUAGAGCACUGCACUAGGAUCGCAGAGGUCAGUGGUUCGAAUCCCGUACAGGCCU